GCGGGGAUCCACUCCCAACCUGUCAAUCAAGAGCCAAAGGUAUCAACAAAAGGCAAUCAGCUUUCUGGAAAGUGUGUCAAUAUCUUUAUAGUAAAGCAUGAGGCACAAGCUUGCAAGGAAACAAAGCACACAUAGAAUCAAUGUUCAAGACACAAGAAGAGCAAGAACAGAGCUCCAACUGUAGUAGCCCGCCGACUACUGAGAAAGAUUUUGAGGAUACUCCACUCUCCCUGGCACAAAUCUCAUCACUGAAGUCACUCAUUCUAUGGAAUGGUCUUUGAAAUACUGGCAGCCUCUGUUUGGAUGCCUUAGAACCCAGCUACCACACUGUAAAGAGACCUGCAGGUUGAGAUGCUACACGGAGGGAAGAGCCUCAGCUAACGGUCAUCAUCAAAGCCCCAACCUUGCAGCUCCAGACAGACGCCAGACUUGAUUUUUCUCACAAAAUUCUUCGUGGAGAUGAAGAUUUACUUCCCAAACGUUCACUGAGCUUAUCCGUGGACAUGACAGCCAUUCAUCACAUUGCAAGCUCUUGGAGGAGAGGACCAUCUCUUUUUCUAAACAACCAAAGUACCUUUAAAAUGGAUGAACUGUGACAGAGGCCGGCAACACCAGGAUAAUCGCAGAACUGAUUUCUGAAAAGACCUGAGUUAAUAGUGAAGAGUGUAUAGGAACUACAAAGUGAUAUACACAAUUUGGUUAUUAUUUCUUUACAUUGAUUUUUGUUUUUUAUUUUUGUUUUGUUUUGUUUUCUUUUCUUCUAGAGACUGGAUCUCUGAUAUAACACGGACUGACCUGGAACUAGCUAUGUUAGUCCAGACUGACCUUGAACUCACAAUCAUCCUGCCUUGAUCUCCUAAGUAUAUUUAACCCCUUAAAUACAGUUAUUUCCAGCUUGAGUAUGGUGGCACUCACUAGUAAUCCCAGCAUGUAAGAAGACGGAAGUGGUAGGACUGAGAGUUCAGGCCACCUGAGCCACAUAAUAAAUUCAAGGUCAACCUGGGCA
rnacentral:lncRNA from 1 species